rnacentral:misc_RNA from 1 species
GAUUUUUUUUUUUUUUUUCUCUUUCCCCAGUAUAUGUCCCACUGCUACAUAUGUACACUUUUCUUUUGUGUGUAAAUUUUAUUAACCUAAAAUAUUUAUGAGGAACAGUUUUGAAGAAGAAUAUAGAAACCUAUGGCUUUACCUUAGUGGCAGACGAAGUGAGAGAAAUGGAAGCUGAUGAUGUUGAUGAAGGACUUGAAAGGGCAGAGAGCCCCAAAUUGUAAGCCAUGGUACAAUCAGGUUGAUAGAGACCAUAGUUUCUCUCUGAUGUUGGCCCAGGCUUCAUAUCUUCAUUGAAUAAAGCAAACAAAUAAACUUCUAGCCUCAUAUUAGGCCUCAAAGGUGUCCCUUCAUUCUCCAAUUGCCUUCUCAGUAAAUUUCUGUUAUAGAUUGCUGCAUUUUCAAUGGUUGCACCAACUUCAUUUGGGUCCCCUUUUGAUGGCCACCCAGUCUCUGAUACCCUAGCCUCAAUUUCAUAAUAACCAAAUCUAGCCAUAGCAAAAAUAACAGCAUCUACUUGAGCAUACAGCAUAUUGUCAUAGUGUAGCUUGGUGUAGGGAUCAACCAAGCCUGAAUUAGGGUUAAAAAGAACAUAGUCCAAGGGGACCCUGUUAGGGUCAUCCUUAUAAGCAUAAUAUGGGUAUGCAUUGAUCCAAAAUGGAGCCUUAGUGCUUGACAAAAAUUGCAAAAAUUGUGACAUUACUCCUGAGACCUCACUUUUGAAACUACCUGCUGAAGGAGGGAAAGAUUGGUCAAGAACAGCUAAAGAAUUAGGUGUUGAGACUUGAAUAUUAUCUAGGCCUAAUUGAACUAGUGCCUCAUGAAUGCUGACAAUGGCUUGAACUAGAUAUGAUAAUAAUGUUGUGUCAUCGUCGGUGAAGACCUCAUUUCCAACCGCGAUUCCGGUGAUUCUUGUGGCCGGAAAGUAUGGCUUGAUUUGGGUACUAACCCAUUGAAGGGCUUGUUCAGGGUCCACCAAAACAGGUAGCAUUUCGUUUUCUACAGUGACAAUCAGCUCAAUGUUGGAGUUGGCAAAUGCUGUUAGAACUUGAGGAUUGGUAUCGUAGAUUCUUCCUUUGGUGAUCUUAAGGGACGUUAAGAGUUCAAGAACGUUCUCUGGUGGUGGCAAAUUGUUGCCCACCUGCCCGUAGUUGAUGCCAAGAGAUGUAACUCCCCGAAGAAAACCAUAAUCUGAGAAAGCUAGAGAAAAUGUAAGAAAAAUAUGGAUCAUAGCCAUCCUGCUAAAAUGACUAACAGAGAAAGAGAGUGUUAGGAAUUCCAAACUGAGAGAGGAACAGAAGAGAUAUAGAGAGAGAGGAAGAUGAGGCUAAGAGGAGUCUGUGAAUUCUUUUCUUGCUUGUUUGAAAAUUUUAUUUUGGAAUGGAGAAGCUUCAGCUUAUUAAUUAUUCCCUGCCAAUGGCCAAUGCUGCCUUUGGCUCUUACCUCUUUAACUGGUUUUAUAUGGCUAUUGAUGUGUUUUCUCUCAUUUUCU